rnacentral:SRP_RNA from 2 species
GCCGGGCGUGGUGGCUCACACCUGUAAUCCCAGCACUUUGGGAGGCUGAGGCAGGUGGAUCACUUGAGGCCAGGAGCUCAAGACCAGCCUGGCCAACAUGGUGAAACCCUGUCUCUA